rnacentral:rRNA from 1 species
UACAGAGGUCCCAAGCGUUGUUCGGAUUCACUGGGCGUAAAGGGCGCGUAGGCGGUUUGACAAGUCUGAUGUGAAAUCCCGCAGCUUAACUGCGGAACUGCAUUGGAAACUGUUUGACUAGAGGAAUGGAGGGGAGACUGGAAUACUUGGUGUAGCAGUGAAAUGCGUAGAUAUCGUAAGGAAGACCAGUGGCGAAGGCGGGUCUCUGGACAGUUCCUGACGCUGAGGCACGAAGGCCAGGGGAGCAAACGGG